AACGCUAGCUACAGGCUUACACAUGCAAGUCGAGGGGCAGCAUGAUCGAAGCUUGCUUUGAUUGAUGGCGACCGGCGCACGGGUGAGUAACGCGUAUCCAACCUUCCCUAUAGUAGAGGAUAGCCCGGCGAAAGUCGGAUUAAUACUCUAUGUUUUCCAAUGCAGACAUCUAAUUUGGAACAAAGGUUCACCGCUAUAGGAUGGGGAUGCGUCUGAUUAGGUAGUCGGCGGGGUAACGGCCCACCGAGCCUACGAUCAGUAGGGGUUCUGAGAGGAAGGUCCCCCACAUUGGAACUGAGACACGGUCCAAACUCCUACGGGAGGCAGCAGUGAGGAAUAUUGGUCAAUGGGCGAGAGCCUGAACCAGCCAAAGUAGCGUGCAGGAUGACGGCCCUAUGGGUUGUAAACUGCUUUUAUACGGGGAUAAAGUGAGGGACGUGUCCCUUUUUGUAGGUACCGUAUGAAUAAGGACCGGCUAAUUCCGUGCCAGCCGCCGC
rnacentral:rRNA from 1 species